rnacentral:rRNA from 1 species
UACAGAGGUCCCAAGCGUUGUUCGGAUUCACUGGGCGUAAAGGGUGCGUAGGUGGUCGGGUAAGUUGGGUGUGAAAGCUCGGAGCUUAACUCCGAAACGGCAUUCAAAACUACCUGGCUAGAGGGUCGGAAGGGAGACUGGAAUUCUACGUGUAGCGGUGAAAUGCGUAGAUAUCGAGAGGAACACCAGUGGCGAAAGCGAGUCUCUGGACGACACCUGACACUGAGGCAAGAAAGCUAGGGGAGCAAACAGG